AGCCACUCGAUGAGCACAAAGCGAACUAUUCUUUCGCCUUUUACUAAAGAAUACCGUGUGCUCGUCGCAAAUAGUGGCAUACGCCUAUUUUUGGAGAGCCCUUUCCAAAUGUUUGGGCU